GCACGGUGGUGCAGUGGGCAGCACUGUGGCCUCAGCGUGAGAAGGUCCCGGGUUGGAAUCCCGGCCUGGGCC
rnacentral:tRNA from 1 species